rnacentral:rRNA from 1 species
UACGUAGGUGGCGAGCGUUAUCCGGAAUUACUGGGCGUAAAGGGCGUGCAGGCGGCACUGUAGGUCUGACGUGAAAUCUCCCGGCUCAACUGGGAGCGUGCAUCUGAUACUGCAGUGCUUGAGUGAUAGAGGGGAAAGCGGAAUUCCUAGUGUAGCGGUAAAAUGCGUAGAUAUUAGGAGGAACACCAGGGGCGAAGGCGGCUGUCUGG